UUGGCCGUCUAUUCUCCGACAACAAGAAACAAAGCAUUCACUCUCAACUCUGUUAUUGUUUUUAUUGGGACCUCGGUCAUCUGUGUGCCAUUUUCACAACCCUACUCUCUCCCUCUUUUCACUACUGGUGUUUCCUUGUCAGAGUUUGGGGAAGAGCAGAAUCUAUGGCUGGGUUGAUUGAUAUUCUUAUUUUUGUAGUUUGUGCUUUUACAUAAUUACAUGGAAAGAACUGACCAUUCCUGACCUGAAGUUGUCCAUGAUGACCGAGUCAUUACGGGAACUCGAGGAUAAGAUCCGCAAGCUUCAAGAAGAAUCGGCUAAGGACAAGAGGAGGACCUGAUUGGUGGAUGUGUCUUCCGGUUUGGCGGUGUGUCUUUAACUUUUUCUGGUUUCAAUUUUGUGGAUGAUUGGUGUAGCAGAAACCAGCUAGGAAUGUAUUAGAUGUAUUUUUCUGUAUUUGUUUUAGUUUUUUGUUUUCCUGUCAACUUCUCUUGUGUAAUCGGUACUCAUGUUGUUGGACUUUGUACUAAUCUGAUUGCUUCCUCGACUCCCUGAAUGGUUACUUUUCUUCUUUUGACUUCCUAGGAUCUUUGUUCAGUUGGUGCAUAUAGAUAUAUGUAUGCGAGUCUCGUCCUUUGCAUCUGCUUUUGUUUCAUAUUUUCGACCUGUCAUCAUCAUCAUCAUCAUUUCUUUGAGUUUCUGUGUCUCAACAAGAGGAAGUUUCACAUUUGUAGCUAAUGUUCAUUUCCACCUUAUAAGCCUGUUCCUAUAGAAUUUAUGUACAAAAGCUACAAGGGUAUGAAACGGGGAGAGGGAAGAGACUAAAAAAAUGCUUCAACCGGACUAUCUUCAGUUUAUUCUGCUUGCAGUGAUGCUACUGGAAUUGCAGUAAUUUACCAUAGGUGGCAGGGGCGACGAUCAAAUCCAGAACAUCUUGAACCCAUUCAUUGACUCUCUUCAAGCAUUCUCCUGUCUUUGAUUUCACCCUCUGAGAAGGUAUGCAGCCUAGCGGACCCAGCCCGUGGAACACCAUCUUUCGCGCACCAAGUUGGUAAAGCCU